UUAGAUUUUAUUUAUUAAUUGUUAAUAUUAUUUUUUAAAUUAUUAGAAGUAACUAUAAAUAAUAAAGUUUUAGUAUUGUUUAAAGAAAAAAUAAUUUUAAUAAUAGUUUAUUAGUAUUGUAAAAGAAAAUUGAAAUAAUUUGAAAAAAUUUUAUUAUAAAAGAAAAUUUAAUUUAUUGUACCUUGUGUAUCAGCGUUUAUUAAAUAAAAAAUAAAUAUUUAUUUUUCUCGAUUUUAAAAGAGUUAAUAUAAUAUAUAAGUUAAUGUAAUAAAAUUAUUUAAAAUAUUAUAUUAGAAAUGAAAUGUUAUUCGUUUUUAAAGGUAUCUAGUUUUUUAAGAAAUAAAUUUAAUUUAGAAAUUAUAAAUUUAUUUUAUUAUUUAAUUAAUUAAAUAAUUUAUAAUUUUAAUAUUUUAUGGGAUAAGCUAUAAAAUAAAUUUUUAAAAAUAAUAAAUAAUUUUAAUAAAUAUAUGCUUAGAAUUAGCAAUUAUUAAAAAAUGUGUUAUAAUUUAUUUUAUAAAUUAUAUUAUUUAUUAAAUUUUAAAUAUUUAUUAAAAUAUUAAUUUUAAUUUUUAAAAUUAAGUAAUAAUGAUAGAAUUAGUAUAUUGUAUUGUUAAAUAAUUAUAUAUGAAAAGUUUAAAUAAAG
rnacentral:rRNA from 1 species